GAUUCAUGCAAGGCCCUCGGGUGAGGGACUGUCGAUCCCGACAGCCAUGCCAGCGCAGGGCCAAGAAAGAAUGUCCUGGAAGGGUGGGGAUGGGUUGGGCUUUCUGAACCCUCCCACCUCAGGAAGGCAAAAGACACAGAUCACAGGCAGCAAGGGGCUGCCAUUUCUGAUGCUUAUACCCUCCACGGUGGCUACAGGAGCCCGCACCAGCAGUGGGAGGAGCAACAUUCCAGAAGCUGCUUCUCUCUGCACCGAUGCAGAAACUGUGCCUGCCAGAUAGUAAUGAUCCAGCCGAGGGCACCAGGCUACAAUUUGCAGAACUGGACUGAAGAAUGGCUGACAUAGCCAGCUGCAGUGGCUCAUGCUUGUAAUCCCAACAGUUUAGGAGGCCAAAGCAGGAGGAUCACUUGAAGUCAUGAGUUCAAGACCAGCCUGAGCAACAUGGCAAGACCCCAUCUCUAUAAAAAAUACAAUAAUUAGCAGGGCAUGGUCGCACAUGUCUGUAGUCCCAGCUGCUUGGUAGGCUGAGGCGGAUGGAUCAUUUCAGCCCAGGAGGCAAGACUGCAGUGAGCCAUGAGUAUGCCACUGCACUCCAGCCUGGGUGACAAAAGAAAAAAAAAAUAGAAUGGAUGAUAUAAACUUUAUUGUUUACUGUGGGGUUGCGGUGGGGGGAGGCGUUAGUUCGUUCUUCUUUCUCUCAAUACCUUUACAAAGUCUCUGUUUCAAAAGAGAGCGCAGAUUAUGCCUGCUACCCCAAGUCCUGAGUCAGAAUUCAAAGGCAAAUAUGGUAGGGUGAUGAGGCAGAAAGGACUUAGGCAGCAGGAGAGCUGUGAUUGGUGGAAGGGGCAGGCAGGAAGAGUUUGGGUUUGGAGACACUGGUUGCUGAGUCAGAACUCCAGCUCUGUCAUUGCCUGUGUGACUUUGGGCAAGUUACAUGUGAUUGUUGGAGCUUCCAUUUCAUUUGCUAAAUAAUUGGGAUCAUAAUACAUACAACGUGGAGUUGUUAGGAUGUCACGAGAGAAUGCACAAGAAGUAAGUACUCCCGAAUUGAGCUAUUAUCUACCUCAAAGGAUUACUGGAGAAAUAGAAAAGGGAUAUAAAGAAACACAGCAAAGAUGCUUCAUAAAAGCUAAAGGCCCAUACUUCAGAACUCAUUUGGGUGAUUAUAGGAAUGAUGAAGUCAUGACAAUUUCAUCAUCGGGAAGGCCUGCCAUGUCUUGGCAAUGAAGAAGGUGGCAGCCAGACUGAAGGGAAGAGGGGCUGCAAGACUUGGAGUUGGUGAUGGCAACCCUGGAGAGGAAAGGAACAUGGCCAAGAGGUUGGGAUUCAUGCUAGAUCAAGAAGGAAGAACCCAGAAGCAGCCCAGAGGCUUCACAGCUACAUAAGAAAAAAAAGGGGGCCAGGCACGAUGCCUCAUGCCUGUAAUCCAGCACUUUGGGAGCCUGAGGCGGGUGGAUCACGAGGUCAGGAGUUCGAGAGCAGCCUGACCAACACAGUGAAACCCUGUCUCCACUGAGAAUACAAAAAUUAGCCAGGCAUGGUGGCACACGCCUGUAAUCCCAGCUACUCAGGAGGCUGAGGCAGGAGAAUCCAGGAGGCGGAACUGCGGUGGGCAGAGAUCACGCCACUGUACUCUAUUCUGGGUGACAGAGUAAGACUCCAUCUCAAAAAAAAAAAAAGGAUGUGACUAUUGCCAAAACCAACUUGUAAAACAUCACCAUGAUAUGUCACCAAGCUACCUACGAGAUGCUGGGCAUACCUUCGGUGGAAGAAAGAAACAGCUAUACAACUUUGGGUUGCUUCAUUUUUCUCUUGCAUUUCUAGUUCAGGUUGGUUUUGGUGUUCUGUUGUUGUUGUUGUUUUGCAUUCCAAAAAAAAUAAAAAAUAA
rnacentral:lncRNA from 10 species